ACGGCGCCCUCAUUCAAUAAUCGCCGUUGUGAAGUGCAGACGUGGUUCCGUUGAGUGAAGUGCUGAAGAAUUCAAGAAGUGAUAUCUGUGCCUGGUCGGAUUCAGUCCCAUUGCGUUUCGCGUGGGCCUGCAUCCGUCGGCCGCCAUCUUGGUUGCCGCUGGGGCGUGGUCGCUGUUCUACAAAAUGGGUUUGUAACGGUAUCAUGCAUUUAUUUAGUUUAUUGUUAAGUGUUUCAAUUUAUUCUACUGCCUAACGAUUAAAUUGGAAAUUUGAUUUUUAUUCAUAUUGAAUAUAGAAAUUGUACAUAUGUUUAAGUAUGGAAAUAAACAGAUUUUUAAAAAAGUUGUCGUAUUAAUCAGUUUUCAUUUUAUUUUUCUUACAAUUUCACCACACAUACAAUGUAUUAUUCCAUGAGUCAUCAUCGUCUCUUCGCGGAGAGCGAGGCAGAGUUGCGUCAGCGUUGGUGUGUUCGUGUCGCUGUGAACGAGAUAAUGAGACACCUGUCCACGGCGCUGCUCACUUGGCUGCCUACUGCCUACCAUACGCACUGCAGUGCUACCUCCCUGCUAUACGACGCGCUCAAUCAAAUCGGUCCCGGUUGUCAGCCCACUAGGUAACCGUUAGGAUGGCGUAAAGGUUUCAACAGUACCUAUUAGCUAGUAUCUGUUAUUUUUUGGCCCGUAAGCGGCCGUUUGCGUGUAACAUUGUGUUUAAGUCUCUCAGAGCCCUGUGCACGCACCUGCACCAACAGUGGCCAGCAGCUGCCACCAGCGACGAGGAAAGGCUACGACCUAACCUCUGAAGGCACGUCAUUCGGUCACGUCAUCAUCUAAGCUUCACAAAAUCGUAUGGAUAUUUGAAAUAACCUACUAGAAAAGAAGUAAUGAACAUUGGUGAGUCGCUUGUAUUCAAAACAAUGGUGGUCAUUAUUUUUUUAGUAUUUUAUGUCAGAUUCUUUUGAAUUUUAUGCAUAAACUUUUAAAUAACAAACAUUAGGGUUUGUUUUGUGCUGUAAUCAUUGAACAAACAGGAAUAAAUCUCCAAAACUGAACAGACACAAUACCAAUGGAAGAACGGUUAACAAGAGGCCGACACUAAAAUAUCACACCACACAAAUAGCCUUCGGCCCCCCUGCUGCAGUCGCUGCGACUUUCACUUUUAGGUAACAACUACUACUGGUUAAUUAUUGAUUUACAAGUGAACAUAACUGGCAUGCUGUUUCAUUUAGUGUGUUGUGUAAAUGCGAAAUUAAUAUCCAGCAAAAGUAAAUGUUGCUGUGAUAAAAUGAACAAAUAGGUUACGAAAAUGAAAUGCUGUUUUGGUAAGAAUUAAUGAUUCGAAAUCAAGAAUGAAAUCGUGGGCUGAUGACGGGACAAUAUAACUUGUGAAACCUGAACAAAUCUUAAAUAAAUAUGCUGAAUACACUGAGACAGGGCAAAAGCGUGAAUGGAAAAUUCUAACGGUGAGUUGUCAGAGUUUUACUGACCUGUUUGAUCUGCAAGAGAAUUAAGUAGUCUUCUCAGCUGAUUUUAGAUACUGACUUGUAUUAUGUAACUUACGUUCUGCCAUUUACUGAUUAUGUGCAACUCCACAGCUAACGACUGGACUGGGGAAAAGCUGACGUGAGCGAGAAUCACGCAUUCUAUGACUAUCAUAACAUCAUAUGGAAAGCAUGGUGAUGUCCUUCCUUGUCAAGAAGGCUGACCCGGCUCCAGUUGAUAUUAGCGAGUGGAUCUUCUCACCCCAUCCCCAGAUAAGUCUCGGCUAUACACUUAUAAACUGUAGUUAAAGUUGAACUAUUACAUUGGCAUAAUUUGAACUACGGAUGCUUGCGACUAGAUAGGACAUAAAAUAAUAUAAUGACCAAGGAAAUUAAGUUAGUGAAUUUAGAGGUAGGUUAUAAAUCUAUAGUUGGUGAUACUGAUAUUCAAUUGACCUUUUCAACAUAAGUAGGGUGCAAUAACCAACUAAAGCUUUUAAUUUCAGAUCAAUGAAUAGCAAUAUAUUAAUAUCUGUGUUGCAGCAAUUUGAAAUUACUUUACAUUCGGUACUCCUAUGUCAUACUUAGUUAGUAACAGGGCAUAUAUGGUACAGCAAUAAUAUUUCAUAAUUAAAGAUGAGCGGGUUAAAACAUCACAGCUCUAUUAAUAGACACAAAUCAUAUUAAGUAUUGGGAAAUUGGAAAUGUGCCUUGUUUGUAAAAGUUAACAAAUACUAUUCAAUAACUCUACUGAAAUGUAAAAACCGGUAUGUAUGUACCUAAUUCUUUGAGUUGAAGGAACCGUGUCUUGAGAUAUUUUAUUGGCAGGAAGUUGUUAUGACUGGAACAAUUGUAACUGUAAAUGUUAUAUUAUAAACAUAAUCUUGUGAUCAUCACACAACAUAAAAUCUUAAAUGUGAACCUAAAGAAAUGUCAACACCGAAGUACAACUACUCAAUAUUAAAGUCGCCUAAUUGAUGGAGCUAUAAACAAAAGUGAAGCGAAAAAGUUCAAUAACACACACAAGGUUAUAACUUACAAAAAUGGUUUUCUCCAAGAAAGGUAUGUUAUGUCCUGGUUAGUGUGUUGUAUAGAAGGUAGCUUCAAUUCAUUUGAAGUAAUAUUUUAAUCUUGUUUGUUCUUGCGUUAAUAGAGCCCAAAAUGCAUACUUGCCUAUCUAGAUAGUUUAAAAAAAUACCUUAUCUUACUUUAUCAAAAAUUUGACAAGCUUUUUGACAUUUUAUUUGAUAUGUUGCAUGGUACAAUAUUUUCUUCUUUUAGUCUACACUCUGAUCAUAUUGAAUCCUGAAUCAUAUUUUGACUAAGUCUACUACUACUCACAAUCUUACAUAAUGAACAUUUUGUAAUUGAUUGUUUUCUCCUUAUCCGUCUAGGAGCAGGCAUUUUGGAGAUAACUUAAUGCAGAUCUCUAAUUGCAUGACCUGCGGAAACCUGUUUAAUUUAAAAUAAUAUUUGAUGACAACCCCAGUUUAAGAACUUCAGAUUGAUGAACUCGAGGAUAUUUUUCAUAACUAAAUGUUCAAAAGAUUCCAAAUUCCUGCUGUAGAACACGGCAUACUAAACACUAGACAACAGUAAAGCCGUUUGAAAUAAUGGAAAAUGGAGUUAAAAUCUAAAUGGCGAAUUUAAAUAGCAUGAAUAUCUGGAAAAAAAAGUGGUAAUCGCGAAGAUACCUACCUACCUACUUACCGAACCAUAAUCUUUAUUUUCCAAUUUUCAGCAUUAGAACCACAUAAUAUUUAGGUUAAAAUUUCUAAAUAUGUUUCAAAAACAUUUGAGAAAGCGGAAAUGAGUGUUAAGUCUAACGUUUAUGACAUCCAAGCAGUUUUUCUAAUAUUAACAUGAAAUCCGUUGAAGCUGUAUAUUGGAUGAUGAAUUGAAAUUACUCUAUUAUAAUCUAGCAAGUCAUGUUUAGUGUCACUGCAGUAGACCCAACAAAAUACCUGGCAAGAUUAAUUCAUUAUUUAAAGCAGAAGAAACUGUGAACUAUGUCUGCAUUCAUAUUGCUGCGUUAUACAUAAUUAAGAGGGAAAGUCUAUGUAUCAGUAAGGACAAGACCUGUUGACUGUAUUUGAAACCGGUCUAAAAGAGCAUCGGCGACAAACAGCAGGUAUUAAUAUAUCUUAUUAACUACGCGAACUAAUCGCGGGUUUUCAUGUUAACUAUGCUUCCUAAGUUGACAGCUCUCGAUUACCAACAAGGGGUUAAUUUAGCCAAGCAAGCCGUCAGUAGCUAAAUACAAGAAUCGUCAAUGCUCGCUGACAUCAUGAUCGCUGCUAAUCGUCAAUGCUCGCUGACGGCGACUUCUCAGUGAAUCGUCAAUGGUCGCUGACCGCGUGACCUCCGCGAAACUACAAUGAUCGCAGAAUUCUUAGUUCGUAAUCUUAGUAACGCCGUGUGCCGACCAUUUGUCGACAUUUUUAGCCACUACGCAAUGCAAUCAAUCAUACUACGUGGUCUACUAAAUUCGUCAAUGCUGCCUCACUGCGUGGUCUACGUGCGUCAAUGCUCGCUGACUGCGUGGUCUACGUGCGACAACGCUCGCCGACUACUUGGUCUACGUGCGUCAAUGCUCGCUGACUGCGUGGUCUUCGCGCGUCGUCAAUGCUCGCUGACUUACGUGGUCUACGUUCGUCAAUGCUCGCUGACUGCGUGGUCUCCGUGCGUCAAUGCUCGCUGACUGCGUGGUCUCCGUGCGUCAAUGCUCGCUGACUGCGUGGUCUCCGUGCGUCAAUGCUCGCUGACUGCGUGGUCUCCGUGCGUCAAUGCUCGCUGACUGCGUGGUCUCCGUGCGUCAAUGCUCGCUGACUGCGUGGUCUACGCGCUUCAAUGCUCGCUGACUUACGUAGUCUACGUGCGUCAAUGCUCGCUGACUGCGUGGUCUACGUGCUUCAAUGCUCGCUGACUGCGUGGUCUUCAACCGCGUCCUUGACAUGAAAUAAUGAUCUGAAGUCACCCAGGUUCGUUAUUAAACGUGUAAAAAAUAGUAGAAAAAAGUCCACAACUCAUUGCUAGCACGGUAUUUAUCCACCUAGAGAAGCCGGUCCCAAUAUCAUUGCAGACUCUUUUUUGUCUUAAGACAGCCAUAUUGUUUGCUUAACUUGCUGACAAAUUAACUACUCUCCUUAAUUAAAAUCUCAAUUCGUGAUUUCGAUCCGAGCAAACCACUCACUCAGCAUUACGCAGCAGGUGCGAAUGGCACGUGCGUGUUCAUCACCAUCAUCUUCGCGUCUACGUUGCCUGAGACGCCGGGUCGUCCCAAGCUUCUCCACGAUCAGCUGGCGCUUGCUGGUCUCCCUCGCGCCUUCGUGUCGCUGCUGAUGUGGCGUCGGCUCUGCACGUCAUCUAUUGUACUGACGCGGCUACAGCCACUUCAGCUGCUCUCAGCGGUUGAAGUCCACGCUUUAACCUUGAGGGUGUACUAGCACCUAUCAAGUCCCACCUAUGCACGGCUGGUGUUUGAAGCACGUCCUCGAGACUGGCCUGCGGUCAGCCUGUCUCUCGCGGUGCGUCGACGCCGGGACAGCUUCGUACUGGGGGUGAUCGUAGCACCUGCCUGUGGUCAUCUACGUCAUCUGGCUGGCUGACGCCGGGUUACCCCAUCUGCGCGCAACUGGUGUAUCAGUAGCACCAACCCGCGAAACGGUACUUUUCACGGUAGUUUCUGUCCCAGCUCCGAGUCAGAUCAAACACGGCGGGCGCAAAGCGCCUCCUUGCGAGCCUGCAGUCUUCAUGUCUGCGGCAUUUGGUACGCCGGCCGCUGUUCUUGCCGGCGCGCGGCGGCGGCCCGUAGCCUAGGCUUUCCGACAGCCAGUCAGAAUCAAUCCCGAAUAUAUUGCGGGCGCUAGAGCGCCUCCUCCUAGGCCAUUGGUCUUCGCGUCACAGUUGCCAUUGCAGCCCUGCCAGUAAACAGCGGGUGCGCGUACCGCCUUCCGGGAGCCAGCAGUCUUCACGUCGACGUCAUCCGGUAUGCUGACGUCGGGUUAUCCCCGCCUGCGCACCGCAGCGGCCCGUGCCUUCUCGUGAGCCAGUAACGAAACUCUUACUGCUGGCGCAGCACCGAGCCCGCUAUACGCGGAUUGCGCCUGUUGUCACGGGCCAUCUGCUCGCUAAGAGCGAGUGCUCGUAGCACCUCCUCGCGAGCCCGCAGUCUGCACAUCAACGUCGGGUUACCGCCGCCUGUGAGCCGCGGCGGCCCGUGUCUUCUCGUCGUGAGCCAGCAGCUGCUGGCGCCGAACCAAGCUCGCCUUACGUGGCGAGCGCCUACGGCGUAUCUUCACGGGCCAUCUGCCCGUUAAGAGCGGGUUCUCGUAGCACCUCCUCGCGAGCCCGCAGUUUUCCCAUCAACGUCGGGCCGUCGCCGCCUGCGCGCCGCGGCGGGCGGCCCAUGGCUUCUCGUCGUGAGCCAGUUUUACUGUUGGCGUCAAACCGACGCUCCCUACGUGGCGGUCGCCUACGGCGUAUCUUCACGGGCCAUCUGCCCGCUGAGAGCGGGUGCUCGUAGCACCUCCACGCGAGCCGGCAGUCUUCACGCGUACUUCACCCGGUAUGCUGUCGUCAGGUUAUCCCCGCCUGCGCACCGCAGCGGCCCGUGCCUUCUCGUGAGCCAGUAACUAACGUCUUACUGCUGGCGCCGCACCGAGCCCGCUCUACACUGCGUGCGCCUACAGCGUAUUGUCACGGGCCAUCUGCUCGCUAAGAGCGAGUGCUCGUAGCACCUCCUCGCGAGCCCUCAGUCUUCACAUCAACGUCGGGUUACCGCCGCCUGCGUGCCGUGGCGGCCCGUGCCUUCUCGUCGUGAGCCAGCAGCUGCUGGCGCCGAACCAAGCUCGCCUUACGUGGCGGGCGCUUACGGCGUAUCUUCACGGGCCAUCUGCCCGCCGAGAGCGGGUGCUCGUAGCACCUCCACGCGAGCCGGCAGUCUUCACGCGUACUUCACCCGGUAUGCUGUCGUCAGGUUAUCCCCGCCUGCGCACCGCAGCGGCCCGUGCCUUCUCGUGAGCCAGUAACCAACGUCUUACUGCUGGCGCCGCACCGAGCCCGCUCUACACGGCGUGCGCCUACAGCGUAUUGUCACGGGCCAUCUGCUCGCUAAGAGCGGCUGCUCGUAGCACCUCCUCGCGAGCCUGCAGUCUUCACAUAAACGUCGGGUUACCGCCGCCUGCGUGCCGCGGUGGCCCGUGCCUUCUCGUCGUGAGCCAGCAGCUGCUGGCGCCGAACCAAGCUCGCCUUACGUGGCGGGCGCCUACGGCGUAUCUCGACGGGCCGUCUGCCCGCUGAGAGCGGGUGCUCGUUAGCACUUCCACGCGAGCCCGCAGUCUUCACAUCAUCGUCGGGUUAUCGCCACCUGCGUGCCGCGGCGGCCCGUGCCUGCUUGUCGUGAGCCAGCAGGCGUUUUACUGCUGGCGCCGAACCAAGCUCGCCUUACGUGGCGGGCGCCUACGGCGUAUCUCGACGGGCCAUCGGCCCGCUGAGAGCGGUGCUCGUAGCAACUCCGCGCGAGCCGGCAGUCUUCACGUCGACAGCAUCCGGUAUUCUGACGUCGAGUUAUGGUCGCCUGCGUGCCGCGGCGGCCCGUGCCUUCUCGUCAGCCAGUAACCAACGUCUUACUGCUGACGUCGCACCGAGUCCGCUCCACACGGCGUGCGCCUACAGCGUAUUGCCACGGGCCGUUUGCCCGCUGAGAGUGGGUGCUCGUAGCACCUCCACGCGAGCCCGCAGUCUUCACAUCAUCGUCGGGUUAUCGCCACCUGCGUGCCGUGGCGGCCCGUGCCUGCUCGGCGUGAGCCAGCAGGCGUUUUACUGCUGGCGCCGAACCAAGGUCGCCUUACGUGGCAGGCGCCUACAGCGUAUCUUGCGGGCCGUCUGCCCGCUGAGAGCACCCUCGUAGCACCUCCGCGCGAGCCGGCAGUCUUCACGUCGACGUCAUCCGGUAUGCUGACGCCGAGUUAUCGUCUCGUCCCGGCGGCCCGUGCCUUCUCGUGGUGAGCCAGAUUUACUGCUGGCGCCGAACCGAGGCCGCGCUACACGGCCCCCCCCCUACAGCGUGUUCUCACAGCGGGCCAUCUGCCCGCAAAGGACGGGUGUUCGUAGCACGUUGACGUGAGCCAGUGUCAGCGGAAGCCGUGUGAACCUCCCCACCAACGCACCCUACAACGCUUUCGCCUCACUGCGGACAUCGCAUCGCGCCUCAGCAGGUACUCGUAGCACCUCGUGAGCCUGUUUAUAGUCUUCGAAUCACCGCAGACGCCCCAUUCAGCCCGCCUUCACGGCGGGUGCUCAAAGCGACUUCUCACGGGCCAUCUCCCCGCAAACUGGGUGUUCGCAGCACCGCGACGCGUGGCAGCAAUCCCCACGUCUGCGUCAUUCGGUAUGCUUUGAUUUAGCGCAGUGGGUGCUCGAAGUACUUCCUUGCAAUAGUCUUCCGUUUACGCCAUCAUAUGCUGACGCUGGUUGAGCUCCGGUCGUGAAGAACAGGUGCCAGUGAUACUUAAACGAAUUAUUGGUGAGCUGUCGCUAUUUUAACUUAUAACUGAAAAGUGAAAGUAACUUCUUAACUGUGACACUUGGCGUAAGAAAGUAAUUAAUCCUGACCAACUGCUAGUAUUAAUCAUGUCAAUCUUGAAAUCAAUUGUUUUCAAUGCAAUCUGCGUGUAUUUAUGACGAGUUGCACUAGCGAGCCGCAUGUAUAACUGCGUAGGUUUCCAUCCGGGAUCUACUCAAUGCUUGGCAGACUGCACUAUCUUGGGAGCUGCGCCUUAUCUGCUCUUCUUAUUCGCUGAAAAGCUGAGCUGAGUCUUUGAGGCGGCGCUUGCCUAUCGAGGCUGCGGUAGCUGGUGCUGUCUGACCGUGCACUGUGGGGGUAUGAAAAUUUCACCUCUAUAAAUAUAUAUUUUUUUCAGAUUGACUUAACUAUUGUCAAAAAAUAACAGAUAAAGCUUUAGCUUCGAUCCUCACUGGGUCACUUUCUAGCACGAAAAAUAUCCUGGAAUAUUCUGUAUACUGAAACAAGAAAUGAGGCCUUUAUGUUUGUAGUAACGAACAUUACAUGCACAUAAUAUGCAUUUCAACACGAUCAUAACAAUGAAUGAAGGAAAAGAGAUUGUCCGUUUAGGUAUUUGGUUAGGUUAUGUAAUUAAGUUUCAGGUUUAUCAAACCGAAAGAAAGUAAUGAAGUCGACAUAUAGAUAUUAUACAAACAAAAUGAAGCAGGUGGUGUGGUAACUGGUGGUUACAUUUGACUGACAGCUAAAACAAAAUAGAAGGUGAAUUGUACAACUAAAGGACUAAUCACUUGUAUUGAAAUAAGAAGCAUCUAAAAUAAUAUUAUAUUACUUCAAUUUUUAACAUUUAAGUAGGUAAGUCCAUGAUUUACUGUCCGUUUUCGCAAAUAUGUAUUCAUUUUUGUCUACACUAAAAUACUACUAGAAAUAAGUUAGGGUUAUAUGAAAUAUCAUUUCGAAAACACAAAUUUUACAGUAAAUUACUAAAUGGGGAUCUUCCUGUGAGUGUUACUUAGAACUUGAAACUUGUCAGUUUUGGUGUAUGUUUUAUCUUGCAAUAUUUUUGUUUAAAUCUUUUGCAUGAUAUUGUGAGUCAUGAAUUUUCUGUAACUUAACGUACGUUCUUGUACAGUAGCUUGGAAUUGGUGCGAAUUGUGUAUGUUAACAGAUACUGCCAUGGUGUGUGUACCUUGUCUGCACCUUUAAACUUAGUCUGUGGAACAGACCAAGCAAGCUACUGCAUGGUAAUUAGUGGCCCCUAUUUGCUUCAGGUAAUUAAGAAACUCCACUUUUUAUGCUCUCAAAUUUUAUUGUUAUUUAAUGUUUGGAGCUUUGGGGUUUGUGCAUAACACUUUUUUUGACAGAUAUUACCUAGUGCUUGGUAGUUUAAAUGUUCGAUGUUUAAUGGAAGGAUUUCAUCACUAUCGCAUUACUUAGUUUUGGAGCACCGCCAUGUACACAGAGGAACAUAAGUUUGUAAAUGGCUUAAAGUAAGAGCUUAAACGUGUGGUCUAAAUUUGGGUAAAUGUACAAUUUUUAUUUUACAACAGAGACUAAAAUUAUAUUCUUGUGCUGAUUUUUUGGCAUGAUGUAGCAAAACAUGAUUAACACUUGCACUAUCGAAUGGAAUUGUGAAUAAAAAAAGCUAUUAAAGGUGGUAACAUUUGCUGUUUAUAAAAUUAAUGAAAUCGUAGGGAGGUAAUACAUAUUGUUAACAGAAAUGCGGUAACCUGAGCGUUAAAAUGAGUGCCAUGGAAAGUACAAUACUUCAACAUGCCUCAAUUUUCAUGAUACUCUGUAUCAUUUAUAAGGUAACAUCAAUCAAUCUUAUGUAAUAUAUAUACCUAGCCUAGAAUCGUAAUUGUGAUUGUUGACAGAUACACAAAUAAGGCACAUGCGUGGGUACGAUGAGGUAAUAAAUCUUUAUUAUUAGCUCUGGUAAGCUGCAUAAUAAGUAUUGUUGACAGAUUGACGGAGAUUUGACCUUAGAGGUUCACAAAACGAGGUAUUGUGCAUUACCUACGCUUAAAAGUAAUUAAAAUUCUUGUAGAUAAUUUGUGGUGUUAAGUAGGUACAAGAUUUUUCCCCUGUGCGUAACAAGUAUUGUUGACAGAUUACAUUCAGGUUCCAGCAUUAUAUAUCAUGACUGAUUGCUUGUCAGCGAUUCGACCUAAAGGGUUAACGUGCUACAAGAGUUCUUACUGAGGUAAAGCAAAAAUAAAUUGGUAAAAUAAUAAACGAGCAGAAAACCCGAUGGGAAUCAUGACCUCUUAUGAAAGAAAGUAGCAUUGUUGGAUAAUGAUAUAGGUGAGAACAUAAUAAUGUUGUUCGCAGGUUGUACUGCAGCUCAUACCGGAACGGUAUAAGUCUAGGUAACACAUUCUAAUGUUUUCACUAAGUAGGAAUAUAAUAAAGUAUUGUUGACAGGGUCUAAAGGAAUGCAAGGUACGAUAUUCCGAUUAGUACUUGAUGUAAUUCAAAGCUUUGCACAUACUUUUGUCUGUUUUGUAGGUGCUUAACCUAUAUUACAGGUGUCUUUGAAUUCAUAAUAUUUCAAUAUCUGGAGCACGCACAAGUAUGCAAUGCCGUGAUUGUUUGUCCUGCUUUUUAUCAAAGGUCUUGUACUGCUUGUGAGCUGAAGGUAAAACAUUAAAUAUAUUGUGUUUGCAUACUCAAGCAUGCAAGGUAAUCGUUGAAUUAAGUGUAUCUUAAAUGCAGAAAUGUGUUUGUCUGUGUUAAAUAACACGAGAUCUAUGUAUGUAGCAGCAAUUAACAAUCGAUUGCACUGAGCUUUACGUACUAUGAGAACACAGACCCAUGGAAUAGAGAACCACUGUGCUUGGCAUGCUGUUAAGAUAAAAGGUAGGAACUGUCCCUUAAAAUCUAUCUUAUAUUUUUGUAAAUGUCAAUUUACUGGUAUGGUGUAGCUAGAGCUACUAGGUGCAUAAUGAGAUAUUGUUGACAGGAUUAUCGAAGAUAGUUCCAAGUGGCAGCAGUCCCUUAGCUCCUUCUAGCUGUUAGUAAUGGUAAUUUAUUCAAAAUCGCUUACCUAGCAUAAGUAACGCAUAUUGUUGACAGAAACAAAUGCUGAAUUCCUUCGCAGUUAAUGGUUACUGGCUACCCACAAGUGAAUAGGUAAAUAUUGAUAGUAUUGAUUCGCAAUGUGUACCUACUUACAUGUACGUUGUAUGAAGUAAUCGCAGAACUUGACGUAAAGAUAGACCAGUACCAUAACAGAAAUUGUUGACAGAUCUUCAUUUUGGCAUAAUGGGUGCAAGAAUGGUCCUAUUUUGUGGAGAUACAUACACCAGUACUUAAAAAAAGGUAAGAAAAUAUAACAGUGUUGUUGGCAGAUCAACUGAGUGAUGCCCGCAGUAGAGAUUUAAAGAUGAUGAAAAUCAUUGUGAAGCAACUGUAACACCACGAAAAGUAAGGCAAUGGAAGAAAAAUAACGAACUAUUCGAUUUGUGAAGUGGAGAUUUAUUUAGUAUAAAAGGCAGGGUCUCCAGAUGCGUAGUGCAAAACUCCAAAAUGCCUUCAGGUAACUAGCCUACCUAAUUUUUAGUAGUUGACAGAUUUCAAUGCGUGCCGCGCCGAGUAUUGAAUUGAGUAUAACAGUAGUAAAGGAUGAAAAUGGAAAAUGAGAUGCAUUUUUAGCAAAUUUUAAUUACGAACACUAAGAAAAAGCUGGUUCUCUACCAUCUUUGGAAAGAUGGUAAGGUAAUCAUUUAUUCAUAGAGGGAUUAAGUAUUUGUGGCUACAAGUAAACUAUACUGAGAGACUUGCUGCUUGGUGUGUUCCCGUAACAAAUAUUAGUUGACAGGAUCUUGACAGCAGCUUGCAGAAAAAUAGCGUCUUGGUAAAUUAUAAGAUCACAGAAGGUUUUUUUCAAACAUUGAUGGGAAAAUGUUAUGCAUCGAAAUUGGAAUGAUGCUAAAUGUCAGAAGGUCGUGUGUUCCACCUAGAUACAUCCUGAAUAAGUGAUAUGGAAACAAACAUUCGUUCCGAGAACUGUUUACUGCAUUAUUAACUUCAAGAAACAAAAACCCUAUUCCACUGAUCCAAGGUGACCUUUACUUUUUUACUUUAGCAUAGCAUAAUAGUUAUUGUUCACAGGUAAAAUUAACACAGUGAAAGUUUGGCUAUUGAAAGUUUAACCUGUCAUGGAAAAAAGCAAAAUAAAUGAUGCUGGUAUUCAAUGUAUAUGUUGGUAAUGCUAUAAAGUGUCUGAAAUGUAAAUUAAUUGGAAUCUUUAACUGCUCAAUUCAGCAUUAAAAACAAUUCCUUUAUUGCAAUAUGUGUGAGGUAUUUUAUAUAAAAUUUUACCCAAUUGCUAUGAAAAUUAUAUUGCUUUUGGUUAGGUCCAUAAUGAAUUUUGUCAACAGUUGAUCGGGUAAAUUACUAGCAGGGAAUAUCUGCAUACCAAUCAUAGCAUCACCAAUGCAGAGUGCAGCGGAACGUAACUGAAUGUUAGCUAAAUAGACAAUCCGAAAAAAGACGAGAAGAUCUUUGGCAUUAAAAAAAAAAGCUAGUGGAAUUUCGACUUACACUGUCUUUGGCAUGACUAACUCUGUACCAUGUACGCGUGUAACACAGUAUUGUUAACAGGUACUGAAUUCAACAUUUGUUGUAUUUAAGCCGGCCUAAAAUAAAAAGCUAAUUAAAUAAUAAUAAUCAGAGAAGUCCACAUAAAGCAGCAUUAUCAUACAAUUUAAGGAGAUGAUUAUAGUGAAUUUCGAAACGGAAAAAUAAAGGAAUUAAGAAUUUACAAAGAAUUAAUUAAGCAUCGUAAGGGAAUACGAAAAUCGGUGAUAAUUAAAAUAGUUGACAAAAGAUCGAACUGAAGACGACACGGACGAGGAGUAAAAUAUAUUUACAAAGUCGAGAAGGAAGCGAAAGAAAACAUCAUGAAUACAAUACGUAACGUAUAAAUAUCAAACCCCAGAAAAAAGAAACUCAACACGGCCAAGAAUACUUAAGCUUCAUUUUUUGAAAGAUUAUGAAUUUACAAAAAACAAUGAAGAAACGAACGAGGCAGUACACAGCAAGAAGAACACAACACACAUACGGCUGAGAUCACCAGGGAAGACGAAACAGACGAGGCGGAGAAGACCACCGAGAAGACUAAACAGACGAGGCGAAGAAGAUUAUUACGAAGUCGAAAAAUACGCGAAGAAAGUUAAUAUGAAUACAAGGACGAGGCGAAGGUCAUCAUAAGUACCAAUUAAAACAGAAUAACAAGGCACUAAAGAGAUUACAAAAUAAUAUGGAAUCCGUGUACGAUGCGGAGAUAACCAUCGGAAAAAAGACACGACGAGGCGAAGAUCAUUGG